UGGAAGUAAAAAAACGUAACAAGGUCUCCGUUGGUGAACCAGCGGAGGGAUCAUUGCUGGAACGCGCCCCAGGCGCACCCAGAAACCCUUUGUGAACUUAUACCUUACUGUUGCCUCGGCGCAUGCUGGCCCCCUCGGGGUCCCUUGGAGACAAGGAGCAGGCACGCCGGCGGCCAAGUUAACUCUUGUUUUUACACUGAAACUCUGAGAAAAAACACAAAUGAAUCAAAACUUUCAACAACGGAUCUCUUGGUUCUGGCAUCGAUGAAGAACGCAGCGAAAUGCGAUAAGUAAUGUGAAUUGCAGAAUUCAGUGAAUCAUCGAAUCUUUGAACGCACAUUGCGCCCUCUGGUAUUCCGGAGGGCAUGCCUGUUCGAGCGUCAUUUCAACCCUCAAGCAUUGCUUGGUGUUGGGGCACUGCCUGUAAAAGGGCAGGCCCUGAAAUCUAGUGGCGAGCUCGCCAGGACCCCGAGCGCAGUAGUUAAACCCUCGCUCUGGAAGGCCCUGGCGGUGCCCUGCCGUUAAACCCCCAACUUUUGAAAAUUUGACCUCGGAUCAGGUAGGAAUACCCGCUGAACUUAAGCAUAUCAAA
rnacentral:rRNA from 1 species